UACGAAGGGAGCUAGCGUUACUCGGAAUUAUUGGGCGUACAGCGUGCGUAGGCGGCUUUGUAAGUCGGGAGUGAAAGCCUGAGGCUCAACCUCAGAAUUGCUUUCGAUACUGCAAAGCUUGAGUAUCAGAGGGGAUAGCGGAAUUCCUAGUGUAGAGGUGAAAUUCGUAGAUAUUAGGAAGAACACCGGUGGCGAAGGCGGCCAUCUGGCUCGGUACUGACGCUCAGGCGCGAAAGCGUGGGGAGCAAACAGG
rnacentral:rRNA from 1 species